rnacentral:rRNA from 1 species
UACGGAGGGUGCAAGCGUUAAUCGGAAUUACUGGGCGUAAAGCGCACGCAGGCGGGCUUUUAAGUCGGAUGUGAAAUCCCCGGGCUGAACCUGGGAACAGCAUUUGAAACUGGGAGGCUAGAGUACUGUAGGGGGGGGUAGAAUUCCACGUGUAGCGGUGAAAUGCGUAGAGACGUGGAGGAAUACCGGAGGCGAAGGCAGCCCCCUGGGAAAGUACUGACGCUCAUGUGCGAAAGCGUGGGGAGCAAACAGG